GAGUUUGAUCCUGGCUCAGGAUGAACGCUAGCGGCAGGCCUAAUACAUGCAAGUCGAACGGCAAGAGUUUUAGCAAUAGAACUUCUAGAGUGGCGAACGGGUGCGUAACGCGUAUGCAACCUACCCUAUACAGGGGGAUAGCCCGGAGAAAUCUGGAUUAAUACCCCAUGGUAUCAUUGAGCUGCAUGGUUUAAUGAUUAAAGAUUCAUCGGUAUAGGAUGGGCAUGCGUCUGAUUAGCUAGUUGGUGGGGUAACGGCUCACCAAGGCGACGAUCAGUAGGGGUUCUGAGAGGAAGGUCCCCCACACUGGCACUGAGAUACGGGCCAGACUCCUACGGGAGGCAGCAGUAGGGAAUAUUGGGCAAUGGACGAGAGUCUGACCCAGCCAUGCCGCGUGCAGGAAGACGGCGUUCUGCGUUGUAAACUGCUUUUAUCUGGGAAGAAAAUGCCCUUGCGAGGGAAAUUGCCGGUACCAGAUGAAUAAGCACCGGCUAACUCCGUGCCAGCAGCCGCGGUAAUACGGAGGGUGCAAGCGUUGUCCGGAUUUAUUGGGUUUAAAGGGUGCGUAGGCGGCUUUUUAAGUCAGUGGUGAAAGUUUUGGGCUCAACCCAGAAACU
rnacentral:rRNA from 1 species